rnacentral:rRNA from 1 species
GACGAACGCUGGCGGCGUGCUUAACACAUGCAAGUCGAACGAAAAGAGGGAAAGAGCUUGCUCUUUCCGGAAUUGAGUGGCAAACGGGUGAGUAACACGUAAACAACCUGCCUUCAGGAUGGGGACAACAGACGGAAACGACUGCUAAUACCGAAUAAGUUCCAAGGGCCGCAUGGCCCAUGGAAGAAAAGGUGGCCUCUACCUGUAAGCUAUCGCCUGAAGAGGGGUUUGCGUCUGAUUAGCUGGUUGGAGGGGUAACGGCCCACCAAGGCGACGAUCAGUAGCCGGUCUGAGAGGAUGAACGGCCACACUGGAGCUGAGACACGGUCCAGACUCCUACGGGAGGCAGCAGUGGGGAAUCUUCCGCAAUGGGCGAAAGCCUGACGGAGCAACGCCGCGUGAGUGAUGACGGCCUUCGGGUUGUAAAACUCUGUGAUCCGGGACGAAAAGGCAGAGUGCGAAGAACAAACUGCAUUGACGGUACCGGAAAAGCAAGCCACGGCUAACUACGUG